rnacentral:rRNA from 1 species
UACAGGGGUGCAAACGUUGCUCGGAAUUAUUGGGCGUAAAGCGCGCGUAGGCGGCUACUUAAGUCGGAUGUGAAAGCCCUUGGCUCAACUGAGGAAGUGCACCCGAAACUGAGUGGCUAGAGUACGAAAGAGGGUCGCGGAAUUCCCGGUGUAGAGGUGAAAUUCGUAGAUAUCGGGAGGAACACCGGUGGCGAAGGCGGCGACCUGGGUCGAUACUGACGCUGAUGCGCGAAAGCGUGGGGAGCAAACAGG